GGGAUUGUGUGAAGAUGACCCUUCUUGCGACAAAACCACUAUGCGGUUAUGCCUCUAAGUCGUGUCUCGACACGUGGGAGAUAUAGCCGCAUCGUGGACGUUACACUCAUUUUAGUGUAGGACUUGCUGCUAUUGCUGUCAUAUUCACACUGUAUUUUCCAAAGUUCGAUAGUAUGUCGUCCUUAGGAUAAGUUGUUGAUCAAAAAAAUGGACUAAAUUAAAGCAUUCCCAGGACUUGAUGCUGUUGUUAUUGACCUGCUGCUGUUGUCAUUAACCUUCUGUUACCGAACUGUAACCUUUGUUUAAGCUUUCUUUUUCUUGCAAUUACUAGUUGUGAUAAUUGUAUGGUGAUAAGAAUGCAUCUGCAGGACAAUAUAUUUUGCUGGUUCCACCAUGCAAUCACAUGAAACUUGGUGUUGCUGCUUCCUGGCUGGCUGUAGCUUUGCAUGAAGCAACAAGAGAUGACUUCACUUUGCUGGCCUAUUUUUUGCCCCCUCCGAUUGAGAUGCCAAAGCAUAGAGGGAGCUUGAUAAAGCUUGGAUGUUGGUCAGGGCUCCAACGGUGCUGAUGCUAUUGGGCUGGUUGUGGCCUCAUGCAUGGUAGUAGGCUUAUCUGGCCCCUGACUAUAGAGUGCUAUAUUGUUGAGCGUUUUACAUGUAGAGUGUUAUAUUGUGAUUGGUGGAAUAAUAUAUGGUGUAUAUUGUGAUUGUGUGGAAUAAUGUAAUAAACUGAGUUUGGCUGUUAUUUGAAUCGGUGUGUUGACUA